AACGAACGCUGGCGGCAUGCCUAACACAUGCAAGUCGAACGAGACCUUCGGGUCUAGUGGCGCACGGGUGCGUAACGCGUGGGAACCUGCCCUUAGGUUCGGAAUAACUCCCCGAAAGGGGUGCUAAUACCGGAUAAUGUCUUCGGACCAAAGAUUUAUCGCCUUUGGAUGGGCCCGCGUUGGAUUAGCUAGUUGUUAGGGUAAAAGCCUACCAAGGCGACGAUCCAUAGCUGGUCUGAGAGGAUGAUCAGCCACACUGGGACUGAGACACGGCCCAGACUCCUACGGGAGGCAGCAGUGGGGAAUAUUGGAAAAUGGGCGAAAGCCUGAUCCAGCAAUGCCGCGUGAGUGAUGAAGGCCUUAGGGUUGUAAAGCUCUUUUACCCGGGAUGAUAAUGACAGUACCGGGAGAAUAAGCUCCGGCUAACUACGUG
rnacentral:rRNA from 1 species